CCUACGGGGGACAGCAGUGAGGAAUAUUGGUCAAUGGGAGAGAUCCUGAACCAGCCAAGCCGCGUGAGGGAAGACGGCCCUAUGGGUUGUAAACCUCUUUUGUCGGAGAACAAAACCCGGGACGUGUCCCGGACUGCGUGUAUCCGAAGAAAAAGCAUCGGCUAACUCCGUGCCAGCAGCCGCGGUAAUACGGAGGAUGCGAGCGUUAUCCGGAUUUAUUGGGUUUAAGGGGUGCGUAGGCGGUCCGUUAAGUCAGCGGUAAAAUUGCGGGGCUCAACCCCGCCGAGCCGUUGAAACUGGCAGACUUGAGUUGACGAGAGGUACGCGGAAUGCGCGGUGUAGCGGUGAAAUGCAUAGAUAUCGCGCAGAACUCCGAUUGCGAAGGCAGCGUACCGGCGCCAGACUGACGCUGAGGCACAAAAGCGUGGGGAGCGAACAGGAUUAGAUACCCGGGUAGUC
rnacentral:rRNA from 1 species